CCUACGGGUUGCAGCAGUGGGGAAUAUUGCACAAUGGGCGCAAGCCUGAUGCAGCGACGCCGCGUGAGGGAUGACGGCCUUCGGGUUGUAAACCUCUUUCAGUAGGGAAGAAGCGAAAGUGACGGUACCUGCAGAAGAAGCGCCGGCUAACUACGUGCCAGCAGCCGCGGUAAUACGUAGGGCGCAAGCGCUAUCCGGAAUUAUUGGGCGUAAGGAGCUCGUAGGCGGUUUGUCGCGUCUGCCGUGAAAGUCCGGGGCUCUACUCCGGAUCUGCGGUGGGUACGGGCAGACUAGAGUGAUGUAGGGGAGACUGGAAUUCCUGGUGUAGCGGUGAAAUGCGCAGAUAUCAGGAGGAACACCGAUGGCGAAGGCAGGUCUCUGGGCAUUAACUGACGCUGAGGAGCGAAAGCAUGGGGAGCGAACAGGAUUAGAUACCCCUGUAGUC
rnacentral:rRNA from 1 species